rnacentral:lncRNA from 10 species
CCUCACCUACCAUCAUGAGUUCAAUAUUUUGGGCCACAGAUUGACAUUUCUCUAUAAGUAUGCAAGUCCAAUCUGGUCAGGUCAGAGACAAAAUUUCAGAGGGCUUCCUGGACCCGGCAGCCAACAGCCCAGAAGCAAGGCCCACCUAGCCUCGGGAGCCUUUGUCCUGGGGCAGAUGGUCAGCGCGGGCACGACAGGAGGGGCCCUCUGGACCACUCCCCGAGGACCCAGGACUCUCCUAGAGACAGGGCCUUGGAUCCUGGGACAGAGGGAAGCAGAGGCCUUGCGAGUUGGCGGUAGCGGCGUCCGUGACCUCCACCCCCUGAGCUGCGGGACCCGGUGACUCCCAGGAAGAGCACGAGCCUCUGCCGGCCGCUCCAGCAGCCACUCCCUUCCCGCCUCCCGCUAGCUGCCGCGGGCGGCAGGGGACUGAGGGUCAAACCCGAACUCCAGCGGUUCCCCUCAGAUAGUGGGACCAACCCGGAGCUCCAGUGCGGCAGGACCCGGCCCGGGCUGCCCCAGCUGCGCCUCGCUUCCGGCUACAAGUUUGCCCCGUGCCCGCCAAAUUGGUGAGUCUGGAAGCUUCUCUUGGGCUCCAGGAAGAGGGUCCCUGCUUCUGCUUCGGCUGUUCCCCACACGGCCAAGUCGGGGGCGUCACCCCCAGUCUGUAGGUGUCGCUGGAUCUUGCGCCCCCUGCAACACCUGUUUCCCAGAGCGUCUGGCGAGGACUCUGCGUUAGCGAAGCGGCGCGCACACGAACACACACGCCCUGACCACACACACACACGGGCCAGGCGAAUACACACGCCCUGACCACACACACACACACACACACACACACACACACACACACACACACACACACACACACGGGCCAGGAGAGAGGCGUAAGGCCCCGUUUCACAGACGUUUGGUGGAGCUGCAACGGUAUCCUUUAGAGAAAGCAAGACAUUGAGAGGUUUGGUAGUAUGCCCAUACUUGCAUGUCUGUGCACCAAGAAGCAAGAAGCCAAAGACAGCUGUUUCUGACUACAAAGACCAUUCUCGCUUUACCAUACCAUGCAACAACUUGGACUAUCAGAGAGGCUGCAACUUGCCCAUGCUGAUGAGCCCAGAGAUGAACCCAGAAGCUCCAUGUCCACACUCCAUGCUGGAAGCUCCUUCCUUAGGGUUGCAUUACCCUGAGUCAGCAGCAGGAAGCCAGAGAGCAGUAAUGGUAACUUACAUAACAAGACGUGUGGCUGAACUAGUUUUUUUUUUUUUUUUUUUUUCAUUUCUUACCCUCCAGUUGUAUUAAGAGUUUGGAGAUUUUCUGGUUUUCCAAAAUCAAGAGUUGAAGUUUAUGAAUUACAAUUACUUCCUCUCAUGUUUUCUCUUUCUCAAUAGAGUAUAGAUUAUUAGUACCUGUCCAUUUAUCUACAAAUAUCCCUAUGAAAUAAUGUGUGACAUAGCAGAGGUAGAAAUAAAAUAAUUUUCUUUCACAAAUUUUAUCCCUUGUUGUUAUGACAUUGUUAUGAUGCCAAAGUAACUGAUGAUUUAAUUAAGGAUCAAGCUCCUCUUUGCCCUGAUAGGUUAGUCAAGUUGGUUAAGUCUAGGAUUCCCACAAUAGCCCUCACUCUAAAAAUUAUCUAUGCUUGAGCAAUAAAGUUCUUUUUUUAAGAAAAA